ensembl:lncRNA
AUUUCAUUCACACUAUUUUCUGUACGUGACCCAAAUAGUCUACCAUGUCAUGCAAUGUGCUUUCACCAAAGGUUGAUCGAUUGUGUUCCAGCUGUGUUCUUCCCCCGUGUUUUCACUGACUUCAAUGUGGAGUCGUUACAUCAGAAUCAGAUCGGUAUUGGGUGACUGAAAGCCCUGACCGCAUUAGACUUGUUUCACUCAGCUGCUCAAGCCAGGAGAAGAAACAUCUGCUUGUGAAAGGAUGCACUUUUAAAUACAUGUCUUUAGAAGAUCAUUCAUUCUUCAGAUUACUGGAACUUUAAAAACAAAUUUUAAACAGACCUAAAAAGCUGCAAGGAUUACAUGCCCAAAUAAGAGCUAAAAAAUAAUUUUCAGAAAUUGCAAGGGAGGCAUCAACAGAGUAACGCAGCUAAUACUGAUAGUGUGGCAAGUGUAAGAGAUGGAAAGGUACUUUGCACCAGUGCGUGGCUCCUCAGAGGAUGAGGUGAAAAUGUACAAACAUUACCAUCCCAUACCUCAACAGCAUCCUCACAACCAUCAUUACCAGCAUGACCAGUAUCACCACCAUGGAUCACACAGUCACAGCUCUUCAAGCAGUCACGGAAAACACAGUGAUAAACAUACUCCCCGUCACCACGACAACCAGCAUCACUUUUAUCAUCCCGCAAACCCUAAAAUGUCUGUAGAUCAUCACAGCUUCUCUAAAAGGUCUUCCUCCAGCCUGUCCUCCUCCUCCUCUUCCACUUCUUCUUCUGCAUCUUGGACCUCAGAGCCCAGCUUGGAUGAUGAGACGUAUCUCAUGCACAAACCCCAGCAUUCCCUGUCCUGCUCCAACAUCCCUGAAGUUCGAAGGAAAAACCACAGAGAUCACAGAGAUCAGAGGCACCGCCACAGCCUAGAAAACGUAGACGAACUGCUGCCUGGUUCUCAGGAUGGACAUCAGAUGCCAAAACUCUCCCGGGGCCAUAGCAAAAGCGAGGAGGGCCUUCAACAAAACCAGCACAAACAUGAUAACACCGAAGGAUCUCACUUCAUGGAUCAUGGGCCACUUUACAAGACUGCAAGCCUGGGACAAAGCCUUGCCUUUGGUGGCAAUAAUGACAACACUCUAAGUGGCAAGGGGGUUCCCAAGAAGGCUGUUUCAUCUAUUCAGCUACCCAACAAAGGUAUUCUGAAAAACAAAUAUGAGGGACAGAAAGAAAGAAACUUCAGGAAAGCCAAGUCUAUGGAGGUGCUCUCCACCAGUGUGCACAUCACAGAAACAUCCAAGCAGAUCUCUGUGGAAGCUGCGGGGAAUAACUUUGUGAAAGGGAAGCUACAGUUCUCUGCAUUUCUGGACGAGAUCACCAAGCAGGUUAUCAGUCCCUGUGCUCUUAGCUCUUUUGGUGUAAACACAUCAACGCCACCAAAAUCACCCAAUGAAGAGCGCAAGAACCGCAGCGGCAAGCAGGAGAGCUUUGUGCCAUCACCAAAACAGCAGCCCAUCAGAACUGAGAGACCUGAUUCAGAAAAAAAUGAUUCAAGCUCACUUUCUCGAUCACAUAAGAGACCGAGCAAAUACCACAGCCGAAACCUGACCAGCCCUCCACACCCACCCCACCACCCUUCUAAAGCUGAAAGACAAGGGGCUGCUUCUGGUAAACAGCACCACAGGCAAUAUUCUCAGAUGCUCACUGAUGGCACCAGCACCAGCCCAGAAACUAUCCACACCAACCUCUCCAAACACAAAGGGCGACAUCAAAGUAGUCAUGGCCCUUCCAGACACUUUCACAUUAAACAGGAGAAGGGGUCACCGCCACCUUUGCGAGCCGCAGGGCUGGAGUCAGAGUCUCAGUCGAGUAAAUCAUCCACCAGUGCUAGUUCAGAGAAAAGUGACAGACCCAAACACAUGGGACACAGGAGGCAGUCCAAACCACACAGGGAUUCAUCCGGUUCCGUGGACCGAGUUCAGAUGCUGGAGGAGAACAACAAAGAGCUGCAUGAGAACCUGUUGCAGACGGUGGCAUGCAUUGAGAACAUGGAGGCAGAACUGCAGUGUACCAAGACAGAGUUAGUCAGCUUCAAAGAGAAAUACAGAAGGUCAGAAACUCCACACAUAAUGUUUUUAGUUCAUGGAAUGACAGCUCACCCAUCUCUCAUUCUCUGUUGUAUAUCAUUUUCAGGCUUCAGGAAAGCUAUUCGGUUUCUCAGCAGGCAAAUAGUGUCUUGGAGCAGAAACUCGAAUCUGCGGUGAGAUUAACACAACUGUGUUAACACUUUCCACAAAAGACAAAGAAACUCUGUGUCAUGAAUUGCUUUCUUACAUUUGUUUUCUCACACAAAGCACAUACCUGUGAAAUAUGAUUGUACUCUUGUCAGGCCUUAUUAAAGCACCUGCUUGCCCUUGAGCUGGUCUCUUUCUAAAAAGCAAACUCACAUCAGCUGAAAUUUCUGUAGUGCUAUCUACCGUUACUGAUAUUACAUUUAAGCAGUAUUUUUUUAACCUUAUUCUGACAGGUAGACAGCUUGGACUCAGAGAGGAAGUUCCUCAUGCAGAGAGUUGCAGAUGUGACUAAACAGCUGGAAAUUGCUCAGAAGACCAUCAACUCCCUGGAAAACGUCAAUGUCAGUGCACCCGCAGACAAGAGACAGCAAACAGAUGCUCCAUGUCUUCGUUUUUUUUGCACAAACUAGUCAAUUCCCCACUAAAUAAAUAUAAAUAUAUAGUAUGCAGUAUGCACGUCUAUAAUGUUAUAAAUGACCCAUAGGUAUUUUAUUGUAGUAUAGUAGAUCUUUUACAAGUGCGGCUUGUUUUUAAGAGGGCUCUCCUGCUUUUGACAUCACAGCUCGGGAUAGUCUCAGCCAAUCAGCAUUGCUACAACAUAAUUUUUGCCCUGAAUGAAGAGGGGGCAAUAUAUAAACGUAUAAAAAUAAAAUACAACAAUACUUUCGUUAUAGCCAGCCAGUAUGCUUAUUUAUAGUUGUGUCUGCUUAAUGAAUUGUUUCAACAUAAAAAAAAACAAUUCACCUGUUGAAAAAAAAUAAAUGUUAAAGGUUAACAUCUUUCUCUAUUUAGGUUCCCUCAUUCAUUAGAGAGUUGUUGAAAAAUCACUUUGACUCUCGGGAAGCACUGGAGGACUUCUUAUGCCCUCAAACAUCUUCACGCCAACCUGAAAGCGACCAAUCAGAAAGGGCGCAGGAGGUCAGAAACAACCAACCAUCUGCUGGAAAAGAGGAAGUAUUUAAAUGGCCACAGACUGGACACACAUGCUCAGGUGCCAGACAACAGCCUGCCACAGCCUUUCUGCCUUGGAAACAUGAUCAUGAUCCAUGGGCAGGGCCAGGGCAACUCAUGGCUAAAGGAAGUGACUCACAACUUCCUUUUUCUUUUGAUGAAGAUGUGCCAAUCCACAAAACAAUGGCAGAUACAAAGCCCCCAAGUCAUCAAGUGCAUCAAUUAGCCAUGAACCCAGAGAUCCACGUAAUUCCCCCAAACCCAUAUAAUUUAGAUGAGAUGAGGCUCAGCAGAAAGACAGGUGGAGAGAGAAGCAUCACUGUGGGGAAAGAGCCCACUGAUGUCAGCUAUCUUACAGCUCAAAGGAUGCUGAAUGAGUUUUUGAACCAGAUUCCUCCUCCGGCACAUGAUGGUGAAGGGAAAGAUAGCGUAGAAGCAGAACUUUAACAGAAGGAAGGUAGUAACAUUUAAUUUGACAUCUUUUUAGUAAACUGUAUUAGGAACUGGAUAAAAACUUCAAUAACAUCCCCCAUUACCAAUAUUGCAGCAAGGAUGCAAAUAACUGUGGCUCUGAUGGCUCUUUAUUGGUAGUUGAGAAAUGCACUUGAUUUCUAGCUUUACAAGUAUAAUUGCUAAAUGCAUAUAAGUAUGUAUAUACCAUCUGGUAUUCUGGUUUCCUGCUUUCAAUUGUUGUUCAGUGCAUUUGCAAAAGGCAUUGUCCAUAUUUGUGUUUUGUGCACUUUUUGCCCUCAAUACUGUGAAAUAUUUAAAGUUAGCACUUAAAUGAUGUAAUUCGAUAUUCAUAUUAUUUUAUUACAAAACCAAAAUUACGGUCAAUUUGUUUUGGAAAAGUAUGGCCCUCUCAUUCUUCUGUCUUUGAGUGCUCAAUGUCUGUCUGUAUAAAAUAAAACAAAUUGAACUGCAGAGUGAAUAGCACUUCUAUGAAAUGUUUAAAUGAACCGAGACAAUGUCCAUGUGGUUAUUUAUUGUAUAAAUUAACAUCUAGGGAAGUUUGAAUUGUUGUUUUUGUGAAAUCUAUAUGUGUAACUAUAUGUAUAUGUAUAGAAUAUAAGUAAUAGUUUCUGCUAGAAAUCAAAUAAGCCAUAUAACCAUAUAUAUUUAAUAUAGAAUAGCCUUGUAUUUUUAUUCUAAAUGUAUUAAUAAAAUCUUGUGUGCAAGUUUGCUCUACAUUUGGGAAUGGUUCCUACCUUUCUUAGUCUGCGUGUCUUUUUAUCCAUAUAAAACACAGUCCAAUUAUCAAACAAUUGCUUCAGCUGAUUUCAAGUCCAAAUUAAACAAACAUCACAUUCUCAGUAUAUCAUAGGACAAU